AUGUUGUUUUAGAUUUUAAAUAAAUUGCUGCAGCGUUUUACAUAAGGGGAAGUCCGGUGAGAGUCCGGCGCUGUCCCGCAACUGUAAGCCUGACGAAACUCCAUUGUGCCACUAUCCCGCUCCAGAAUUCUCCUGAAGUAAUUUUGGGGCGGGAUGGGAAGGCGGAGCAGUAGAAGGAAGGCAAGCCAGGAGACCCGGAUAAAACGAUCGCAGCAC
rnacentral:ncRNA from 2 species